GACGAACCGUGCGAACGUUAUUCGGAAUCAUUGGGCUUAAAGGGCGCGUAGGCGGCGAUGUAAGUUGGAAGUGAAAUCCCAUCGGCUCAACCGUGGAAUCGCUCCCAGUACUGCAUUGCUCGAGGGGGAUAGGGGUCUGCGGAACUACCGGUGGAGCGGUGAAAUGUGUUGAUAUCGGUGGGAACGCCAGUGGCGAAAGCGGCAGACUAGACCCUUCCUGACGCUGCAGCGCGCAAGCUAGGGGAGCAAACGGG
rnacentral:rRNA from 1 species